CCGAAGCAGGCUCCAGGCUCCGAUCUGACAGCACAGAGCCUGACGCAGGGCUUGAGCCCACGAACUUGAGAUCAUGACCUGAGCCGAAGUCUGGCGAUCAAGCGACUGAGCCACCCAGGCGCCACCCGAAUUUCAUGCUUAAGAGGAGAUUAAGCGUGGAUGGCUGACCUCAGUGGUGUGGGCUCGGUGCCCCUCUCUGGGGAUCUAAGGCAUCUCCCCGGGCUACUACUCAGCGCGUGUUGAUGAGGAGGACAUCUGUGAGGCUGCAGGAGACCAGCAGAAAGCUGCCGGAUUCUUCUCCCUCUGGCGGAUAGGACGUGUGCAUUUGGUCCUUACUUGUGUGUGACCGCGGCUAACCACACGGGGACUUCUUGUAGCCGCUAGACAGGCCUGUGCAGGCCUCAGGGGCUCUGGGAAGUGUCCCAGUCAAGGUCAACACUCAAGAAGACAGAAGAUGGAAUGGGGCAGUCCCACCCCAAGCGGGCUGCUGGGUCCAGGUGGGGGCCGCUGUGGAGCUGGGGGCAGGGUAGGAGGCACCCAGGGCAGGGGCACCUGCUGAGAGGAGCAGGGGGGCGCCAGUGCCCUCCCUGAGCGUUUCCCCUCACUCCUGCUCUCCUCCCCGACCAGCAUCCUCCUACCCUUGAGUGCGCGACAGGGGAGAGCGCCCAGGGCCCGUGUCUUCCCCUCGACACACGGCCCAAGCAGAGCGAUGACGCCGUGUAAACAGAACAUGCUUCCUGAGAGGAGGCGCUGCGUCCAAGUCCCGUGUCCUCCACCUUCUAGCUGGUGACCUUCAGCCAGUGACUUAAGGCCUUCAGAGCUUCCAUUUCUCUACCGGAAAAUGGAGCAAAUACCUUCUGUCUGCCCCCCGGGGGCCACCGUGCUGAACAAGGCAUCCUGUCCUUCCGUGGGACCUCAGAGCGUAGACGGUACAUUUUCCACGGCCGAGCAUCUCUUAUAUCGCUUGACAAGUGAUGCCUGAUGCAGAUGUGUCCAGUGCUGUCGUUCCUGGCGGAGACGGAGCGGGAGCUGGUGGGUCUCUUCAAUUCCCCAUAAGGAGACCCUCUUGGCCUUUUCUUCUUUGCUACAAGUUUCCAGGCUUUGUGUUGUUAAACUGAUGAAGGCUGACGCAAAGCCCCGCAACGAAGCGAGGGGCUCCUGCCCGAGAGCAGGGUCGGCCCCCGCAGAAAACGACCUUUGAGCAUCCCUCAAGGCCUGGGACGUGUCUGAACCUACUUGUCAGGGACGCAGAGCUAGCCGGAAGCGCGAUUUCCUUUCCCCCUCGGAACUGAUCCUAUGGAAACACACAUGUCCGAAGAGGCAAAGGGCCAAGUGCUGUACCCUGGUGUUCGUAGCAGCAGGAUUCAUAACAGCUCCCAAGCAGAAACAACUCACGUGUCCAUCAGCUGAUUAAGCAAAAUGUGGUCUAUCCACGCAAGAGAAUGUUACUCGGCCGUAAGAAGGAGUGAAGCUCUAACUCACGCCACAGUGUGAAUGCACCUUGAACACACAACGCUCAGACACAAAAGCCAUUUAUGUGAAAUGUUCAGAACAGGCGCACCCACAGAGAGUGCGUUAGUGGGCGCCGGGGUCGGUGGGGGGGGGUGGCGUUGGGGUGACUGCUAAUCAGACAGGACUUCUUUUGGGAGUGAUGGAAAUGUUCUGGAGUUAGACAGUGGUGAUGGUUACAUAAGCCCCAAGGAUACACAAAGACCCACUGAAUUACACACUCGAAAUGGGCCGACUCUGUGGUAUGUAAAAUAUAUCUCAAUACAGCUGUGAAAACAAGAUCUACAGUGCCCUGGCGGAGUUACUCGAAGUCACAAAAAAACUGCAAACAACUUAAAUGUUCAUCAGUAGUAAAAUCAUUCAAUAAAUUACGGUACAUCCCUAGUGUGAUGCCAUGACACCAUCAAAAAGAAUGAAGCACGGGGCACCCGGGGGCUCAGUCGGUUGGGCGUCCGACCUCGGCUCAGGUCACGAUCUCACGGUCCGUGGGUUCGAGUCCCGCGUCGGGCUCUGUGCCGACAGCUCGGAGCCUGGAGCCUGCUUCCGAUUCUGGGUCUCCCUCUCUCUCUGCCCCUCCCCCACUCACGCUCUGUCGUGAAUGCGGUGCGUACAGGGAACACCACUGCUAUUCGAUCCACUUGGUCUACAGUAUGCUGCCACUUACACGGCCAGAGGCUUUAAUAUUAAUUCAAUAUCAAACACCAAGAGGAAAUUUCCUGGACAAACCGACUGUGGAGCAUUCGUACAGUGGAGUACAACUCAGCAAUGGAAAGAACAAGCCAUCGACGCGCAUGACGGCACGAUGAGUCUCGAAGGCAUUACGCCAAGCGACGGGGAGGGGAGCUGAGCGGGUGGCCAGGGGUCAAGGGUGGAGUGAGGGUCUGGCUGCAGAGGGGCAGCUCAAGAGAACGCACCCCAGUGUUGGAACUGCUCUCUGCCCACUUGGUGGGUGGUGGUUACCAGAACCUAUGCGUGUGUGAGAAAACUCACCCCAAAAUGUAAACAUGACUGUAUGUAAACUUAAACUAUAAAUAAACAGAAAGGAACAAAGUGAAUUUACCAAAAAGAAGGCGCAGGCCCAGAGGAUUCAAAAGUGAACAAGCCAGAUCUGGGGGUGCGGACAUCCUCAUGCAGCAGAGUCAGACAAGAAACCAGUCACCAGAUAUACGAGGUUAUUUCAUAGAGAUCUGGGCCGUGACAAAGGGAGAAGGCAGAGGGACAGAGCCGGUGGGGAGGGGUGGUGGAAAAGGGGCUCCCAAGCUGUCACCAGGCCAGUGAAGGGUGUUGUGGAGGACGGUGCUGACAUGAGACCUGGCCAGACAUAGGGAGAUGGGAGCAAGCACUCCCAGCACAGGGAACAGGAGGUGCAAAGGCCCUGUGGCAAGGGAAGGCAGGGGGCUGGAGACAACAGCAGAGACCCCGAGGGCAUGGCCAGAAGUCUGAAUCUUAGUCCAGUUCCUGAGGGAAACUCCAAGCAGGGCCACAACACAUUCUGGUUAAACUAUAUUCUUCUUAGACUAUUGGGAGAAAGAGUGAAGACAGGAAAACCAGGGAGGAAGCUCCCAUGGCAUACACUGUUUAAAGAUUUUAAUAAUAAUUAAUGCUUUUUAAGUCCCUAACUGAGCUUAUUAACACCUAUAUAUGGAGGCUGGAUAGCAAAUCUGUCAUUUUGUAAAGAAGUCAAGUAACAUUGAUCCCAGUAAAUGAAAGGUUAACUAAUUAAGUAUUUAGUCACCACGAAAGUAAAUGAAAGCCUCUACGACUUUCGUGCAGGUAAUUGCACUCUUAGUAAGUCAUCACAGCCCACAAGCAUCAGCUUGCUUAUUAAUUCAGUGUUAACUGUCCGUAUUGACUUAUACAUGCCAUUAUCCCAAAAUCAAAUAAUUUACAAGCAUACUUAUUUGUUUUAAAAAGGGACAUAAAAAAGUAGACAGAGGAAAUGAACAAGGCCUUGAACCUGUAGUUUGGUUACAGUUACUCACCGGUAGGGAUUAAUAUAGUAAAUUGAGUUCAAUCAGGGGUUGGCAAACUUCUUCUGCAAAGGGCCAGAGUACGUUUUUGGCUUUGCAGACCAUAGGGUCUACGUCAAAACUACUCAACUCUCACUGUUUCCAGAAAGCUGCCAGUGACCUUACAUAAGGAAUGGGUACGGUCGCAUUCAGAGCCCUACCAGAACCUGGGGCAAAGGACACAAAUCAGCGAUGCUGAUCCUGUCUUUAAAAUGUUGACAUUUUGCUCGAUGGAUGUUUGUGUGUGUGUGGCAUGUUUCGAUUUUUAAAAUGCUACAUAAGUGAAAUGUGACUUAUCUUGAUACCUGAGGUUUUCUGGCCCUGGACCUGUUUCAAUAAAACUUUAUUUACAGACACUG